AGAAACUUCCAACUAGUAUUGGGAGACAACACGAUUUCCGUAUAUCCUCGGGAUUUUCCGCGCGGGAAAGUAUCAGGAGACGCAUCGACGGGCGUCCAUCGUUGCGGAGCGCGCCAAGAGACGCUUGCGUGCGUUCGGCCUGUACACCCGACUUAUUAUCGGGGAGAGGGAUUAUUAUUGUUUAUGAAACUCACCGCCGUCCUUGUCGGCCAUUCUGAGGCUGCUGCCAAGGACUUUUCGAGGGUCCGUGAUGGGUGCGAGAGAGUCGAGCCGAGUUGUUUGCGUGUGUACGCGAACGUCGCAAACUCCCGAAGAGUUUUGUGAUCAGCCUGCCUAGUGCCUGUAGCGCUAAUAUAUAGGUAUAUAGAGCCGUAACCGGCGGCGGCGACGAAACCCGCGCCAAAAGUCUAUACACUGCAGUGCACACUUGCCGCUACGGCCGACGGUGCUGCUGCGCUGUGGACUCGAGAGGCCAAACGUACAAAGAAGGUUGGAAUCACUGGUAAAUAUGGUACGCGGUACGGUGCCUCGCUCAGGAAGAUGGUCAAGAAGAUGGAAAUCACACAGCACAGUAAAUACACCUGUACUUUCUGUGGAAAGGAAGCAAUGAAACGUAGCGUCGUUGGUGUCUGGUCUUGCAAGCGAUGCAAGAGGACAGUAGCUGGUGGAGCUUGGGUGUUUUCCACAACGACUGCUGCUUCAGUUAGGUCUGCAGUUCGUCGUUUACGUGAAGUGAAAGACCAGUAAAUUAAUUGAAUAAAAA